rnacentral:lncRNA from 12 species
UGUUAGUGAGCUGAGUGGUUUUUAACACCCUUGUUUUUUCAGGUGUAGUUCCUAGCCCUGGUGAAAAGCUUUGUUUACUGAAGAUGUGAUGCCUUCAGUAGAGUUUUAAUCGUGUUACCCUUCCUCAAUGCUCUAAAGUCUCCUGGGAAAGAGAAAGAAUAGUGGGAGUUGACAAGGCUCUGUGUCAUGGGCUGCAAGAGGAAGUAGCCAGCGGAGAUAAGCAGGUCUGGCUGCUAACAGCCAGGUAAGCACUGUGAUCUUCAUCAACACACCGGUCUUUCUCUUGCAUCCAGAUAGUGGAAAG